UCCUAGUUAACCUAGGCAGUCUCAUUAGAGUCCCCACCUUGCGUGCUGGCAACUAAUGAUAAGGGUUGCGCUCGUUGCGGGACUUAACCCAACACCUCACGGCACGAGCUGACGACAGCCAUGCAGCACCUAUGUAGUGGCCCUUGCGGGAAGCUUCAUUUCUGAAGCCGUCCCCUACAUUUCGAGCCUGGGUAAGGUUCUUCGCGUUGCAUCGAAUUAAACCACAUGCUCCACUGCUUGUGCGGGCCCCCGUCAAUUCUUUUGAGUUUCACCCUUGCGAGUGUACUCCUCAGGCGGUAUACUUAACGCGUUAGCUUCGACACAGCCAGAGUUGAGGCUGGCUACAUCAAGUAUACAUCGUUUACGGCAAGGACUAC
rnacentral:misc_RNA from 1 species